CUGUUUGCCCCAUGCGGAGAUGCACAGCUGUGCUACACCAGAAAAGCAGCAUAUUUCUACAGUGCUAUUUCAGUAGAUUGUGCUGCACACUUUCGCAACUUCCAUGUCAAACCAGCAGAGGGUACUCUUAAGCUUCCAAGAAGAUGUUAAAUUGCUUCAUGAGGCCAAAACGUCAAACUGGGUACCGAGGGAAGGGGACAGAAAUGUCCCCUCUUUAAUGACAAUAUAUGAGCCUGAUCACAGAUGUCUCAACAACUUCUUUCUUUUGAGACUGUUGGAGGAUCCGACAGACCAUUAAGCUGAUUGGCAGUCUCACUAAUCCUGAUGUUAGAACACUUGAAGGUCUUCAUCUCGCCUUAACAGCAUUCCUUCAUCCCAGCAGCAUCACAGAAAUGUCUGAGGAAAGGCACUGGAACAAGAUAAAUAUCUGGUGAUAAAUUUUAAGAUACUCUACCAGUCAGCCAGAGGCAUCUAGAGGUGAACAUACUGUCUUUGUAAUAACCUUUUAUGGAUUAUUGUUCCAUAAAUUUGUCUAAAUAAUUUUGAUCCCACGACAGCAUUUAGGAACCAUUGUAACCUGAGACAAAGCAAAAACAACAACAAAAAAAAAACCAUCCACAAAACAACUUGAGCAACCAAGGUGGUUUAAUUCUGCACUGGCUGGAGGCAUAGCUUCUUGUAUUUGUUUUAGGCUGAUUUGGCUAACACUGUGCUCUACAAUCAUGGAUCUCCAUCAUUACAGCCUUUCUACCUGAGAGCAUGACCAGCAUUCUUUGUUCCUAGUGAUGUAGUUUUGUGUACAUCUCUGUUAAUAAAUGUUUUCUGA